AUUGAACGCUGGCGGUAUGCUUAACACAUGCAAGUCGAACGGCAGCAUAAUCUUCGGAUUGAUGGCGAGUGGCGGACGGGUGAGUAAUAUAUAGGAAUCUGCCUUGUAGUGGGGGAUAACUAUCCGAAAGGAUAGCUAAUACCGCAUAAUGAUUACGGUUUAAAGCAGGGGAUCUUCGGACCUUGCGCUACAAGUUGAGCCUAUACCAGAUUAGCUAGUUGGUGAGGUAAAGGCGCACCAAGGCGACGAUGUUUCGCUGGGCUGAGAGGAUGAUCAGCCACACUGGGACUGAGACACGGCCCAGACUCUUACGGGAGGCAGCAGUGGGGAAUAUUGGACAAUGGGCGCAAGCCUGAUCCAGCAAUACCGCGUGUGUGAAGAAGGCCUUCGGGUUGUAAAGCACUUUUGUUAGGGAGGAUGGUGAUUUUGGCGAAUACCCAAAGUCAUUGACGUUACCUAAAGAAUCAGCACCGGCUAACUCCGUGCCAGCCGCCGCCGUAA
rnacentral:rRNA from 1 species